CUCCCACAAGCCCAGAAGUUGCUCUCUUCAGGUCUCAGAUCUUUACAGACUGUUGUUAAAAGAGUGGAUGUUACACAGUACUAAACAUGGUCCUGUCCAGACUUUUGUUGAGCCUUUCACUUCCAAAUAACCUUUUUUUUUUCUUAAAAUGGUGUAUUUUCUUAUGUAAACAUUCAUAUUUUCUGUGCUCUACUGUGAAUAAAAUAUGGGCUUAUAAGAUUUGGAAAUCAAUGUAUUCUGUUUUACUUACAUUUUACUGCACUGUCCCAUUUUGGAGGGGGGGGGGGGGGGGGGGAUUUGGAUUGGAUGUAGUUAACCACUGCAAAACUUUAGAAACUUCAGACUUUAGAAGGUCCAUGCCAGGACAAAAGUGUCGACCACCUAUUUAAGAUCUUUUGAAGUGACAUAACUUUUCACAUAACUUUAAAAAGCUUUAAGCUCAUAUUCUUCUCAAUUUUUUGCUCACAGUGUAUCAAUUUUUCCAACAUAACGUUUUAUUUUUAAUGUUUUUCUUUCAAUUUUUAUCACUUUUUUCAUUUUUCUUUUCUUUUUUUUUUUUGGCAGAGACAGGCCAUAAAAACCACAAAACCAAGAAGUCAGAGAUUCAUUAAAAACAGCUGAAGUGUAAAUGUUUGUACUCCAAGAGUGGAGAACCAAGAUUGACCUUAAAGACUGACAAUGAUGAUGAUGAGACACAACAUGAGUCAUGACCUUUUUAAAAUUUAUUGUUAUAUAUAUGUAUGUAUGAAUAUACUGGUGCCAUAUUCAUCAUAUGUCCCUUGUAUUAGGUGUUCACAUCAUAUGCAGUCAGUGUUUCUAAAGCAUUACGUUGUCGUCGCUUAUUUUUUAUUUAUUUAUUCUUACUGUGGCUGUGCAUUUUGUAAUUACACAUAGUGCCUUUUUAAUCUUUUAAAAAAUAUUUUAGUUUCUCUCCGUGAUGAAGCUUUAAUCUCCGCCACAUGUCCCAACGCUUAAAAAAAAUCAGAUCAAUUACCAAGUCACAUCCAGUCAUGCCACAUUUUUUUCCGGCCCUUCACGCAUAAAAACCCAAAUUCAAUUUAAAGCGAGCAUCUGUCUGUUACCACGGUCGAAGAGUAUAGCGUGUGUAUGGCGGACAGGUUAAUGCAUGUGUGCACGCAAGUGUGUAAGAGUGCGAAAGACAGGAAGAGAGAGAGGAAGACUGUGUGUGUGUUUGUGUGUCUGCGAGUGUGUAAUUAAAACAAGUGAACCACCCCCCACCUUUUUUUCUUUUUUUUACACACAGAUUAUCCCUCCAUCCCAGCUGGUCAGAGUUGGAUUUGACCACCCGACAACGAGAGAGAGGAAAUCUCUUUGGAGCUAAAUCCAAAUUGGCACCCUUGAUUUUUUUUUUUUUUUUUAGCAAACUGAAAAUGUUGGCGUGUUUAAACAAUGAAUUUGACACUAAUAUCUAAAACAUAUUAAGUAGAAAAACACACUGACGUCUCGAGGUAUGAACACUGUAAAACUGGUUUUGUAGUUAGUUUUUGUGGCUCUUCAAAGUAUUGCUAAAUUUUUCGCAUGUGUUAUAAAUCUCCCAUCACUGUGUGAUCACAUCACAUCACUGACACAUGAGUCUGUGUCAGAAUGAAAAAAC
ensembl:lncRNA